GGCUGGUCCAAAGGUAGUGAGUUAUCCUACUUGAUUGUUCACAGUCAGUUACAGAUCUAACUCCUUGUUCUCCUCUUUCCCCCCUUCUCACUUUGGCAUUUGACUAGUCUUAA
rnacentral:Y_RNA from 1 species